UUUAUUCAUCAUACAGUUUAA
rnacentral:piRNA from 1 species